UUUAUCUCCCUAAGCAGGAGUCAUUCAUUACUUUAUCUCCCUGAGCACGAGUCAUUCCAUUACUUUAUCUCCCUGAGCAGGAGUCAUUCAUUACUUUAUCUCCCUGAGCAGGAGUCAUUCCAUUACUUUAUCUCCCUAAGCAGGAGUCAUUCCAUUACUUUAUCUCCCUGAGCAGGAGUCAUUCCAUUACUUUAUCUCCCUGAGCUGGAGUCAUUUCAUCCACUACACAACCAUUCCAACAUUUUCCCUUUGUCUUCCACAGGUGUUCCAUUUGAGGUGGAAAGACAGUGAACUGGGGCAGUGAUACAUUUGGAUUCAACCUCCAGAACAGCUGAAUAACCUCCGUACAUCUUGAAUGCUGCUUCACUAUCUCCCAAAACCCUUCACCCCUCAGGCAGAGGCCCAGAGACGUGUUUCAGCAGGUUACCAGGAUUACUACACAAAGGCACAACAUUUAUCUGCUUCCUCCUAACAAAGUCUGUCAACAGUGUGGUACCCAGGCUAUCAGAGAGCCAUCUGUCAACAGUGUGGUACCCAGCCUAUCAGAGAGCGAGCUGCCUGCCUGCCUUGGAUUGGACGAGGUUUUAACCAAUGACACAGGGAAAGUGUGUGCUGUAUAUUGUGACAUAACUUAAUGCAUGGCCUUUAUGGGUAUAGUAAUGAGUUUAUCAGCAGUAUUCCCAUGUCUGUCUUAAAGAGAAAUAUUCAUAUACAACGUUUGUGUCUCUUCCACAUUUCCAUUAGAAUCAUAUGGACUCAUUG
ensembl:lncRNA